rnacentral:lncRNA from 1 species
AUCAGCCACCCCAGCAUCUUUCCUCAACUAUGGCAUCCAUCUCAGGGAUGUGCAGGGAGAGGCCAAGAGCAGAAAGCACUGGGCAGGUAGAGGUCCCUGUGGGGACAUUAAGAACUUGGUUUUCACCGUGCUGAUUUGCUUUGAGCCUCUGUGGACUAAAGCAGGCUGUCUCCCCAUAUCCUUUGUCCUCUCCCACCCCUCGCCGCCUCCCUCCCUCUCCUUGCUCUUGGUUAGAAAUUGUCAUUUAAAGCCCAAACUCCCAUUGUCCAAACUGGGAUUAAGCACCAUCUGUGCAAACUUUUGAGGCCAUUUCUGUGACUGGGAGGAAACGGAUGACUCAGAGAGACAUUGCGACACAAGAUCAGAGGUGACCCGGGGUUAAGUGGGUGGAUCUCAACAGCCCUGCUAGCUCAGCCUGCUGAGGCACAUGGCAAGGGAGCCAGCAGUCACUUUCAGAGGGCUGUAGGGUACCCCUUGACUGCCAGAUGCUUCCAAAUUGCAGCAGGUGCUGAGCUUUGGUCCGCCUGAUCCCACCGGUGGGAUGUUCAGUAGGACUCAGCGUUGGUGCAGCAGGAUGGUGUUUGGUGUUGAUCACCUCAUAGCACGCCUGGAGGGCUGCUGGCAGCUCUGGACUCAUGCAGAGAGUGUGCAAAGUGGCUGAUGGCCCUGCAAAACCCUUGGCUUAGCAAACAGACCCUCCUCCAGCUCCAGUGUCCUGAAGGAAGAAAUGUGGGGAAAGAGCGGAUAUUUAGGUGGUUCCAGCGGGGCAGUCUGAGGGGAUCAGCUGUUUUGAAGGACUGUGAUUGCAGGAGGUGGAUCUGGAUCCUAAAUCGGGCAUACAGCCAUGUCCAAGGGGCAGAGCAGGGAUCCUCUGAGUGAUGGACGUGAAGAUGGGUGCAGAGCAGACCCUCCUGAGCUGAGUUUGGCUGGGAAAACAUCUGCAGUGUGUUCCUGUACGUGAGAACGCCGCUGGAAAUGGCUGCUGUGCUGAGAUGACCUGUGAAACAACCACCGCUGACCGAUGCUGAGAUCCUUCCCUUCGCUUUCACAACCUCUGCUCUUCAGGCAUCAGUCCUCCCCAGGAGCUCAGCUUCUCCUGGGCUGUUUUCUCAGGUCUGGUAGGUCUCUAGCUCACGCUGGCUGAGAACCCUGGCAACGGUUUGGUUCAAUGCCUUCAGUCUGGCCAAGAAGCCCAGGAUUGUAUACGAACCUCUGUGUGCUUUGCAGGUACAACAGUGUGCACCAACCUUUUUUAACUGAGAAGAAGUAAAAGGUCCAAGAGCAGAGCAUCACUGAUGCAUUGCCUUCCCAAAUCUGCAGGCAGCCCAGAACGAGGGCUCUGUGGUGCACCGCCGUUGUCCCAGCUUUUUUAUCAGUAUGCCUUCUCCUGGCUGUGGCAGGUGCAAAAUUGAGAUGGCAAAGUGACUUUAUUGAGAAAACAAGACACAAAGGACUGAUUUAUUUUGCAUCUAAUUCAGCUCUGAGGCCCUCCCAGAUGUUCUGGGUUUCUUGGUGGAAAUAAAACGGCUGCAGAUUUUCCAGCUGGCUACAGAAAGCAGAGCACUGCCACCAGGCCAAGUCCCAAACAUUUUAUAGCCAAAUUUUGAGUUUGAGGACAUCUAUAAUCCUGACACAUUUAGUUUUCUGCACAUCUUCCUUCCCACACGGUAGCUCAGCAUGCAACCUUUUGCAGUACAACAGGGUUCCUGCAAUGUCUUUUCCAGAAGCAGCCUUAAAAAUCCC